ACGGUCUCAGUUCGGAUUGCAGGCUGCAACCCCGCCUGCAUGAAGUCGGAAUUGCUAGUAAUCGCAGAUCAGCAUGCUGCGGUGAAUACGUUCCCGGGCCUUGUACACACCGCCCGUCACACCAUGGGAGUCGGUAACACCCGAAGUCGGUAGCCUAACCGUAAGGAGGGCGCCGCCGAAGGUGGGAUUGAUGACUGGGGUGAAGUCGUAACAAGGUACC
rnacentral:rRNA from 1 species